AUUGGACACAUGAAAUAACAACUCCAAAGUAGAUAGGUAUAGAUGCACCGGGGCUUGCCUGGGAUCAACAAAUGUUAGUUCUUCGGAAAACCCCUUCAAUAAAAGAGGCACUUCAACAUUUCUCAGACUCUGACAAUCUUCAGAUGAAUUCCAUGAAUUCCACUUCAGGAGCUUCGGCAUCUAUGAUUUAGUACAUGCAGGAGUUAGAGAUGCAAACUUUUGAACACAUGACUAUAUAACUUUCCUUCAUGAUAAAGUUGCAAGCCAACAAGUGACUAUACAACCUAUCUUCAUGAUAAAGUUGCAAGCCAACACUAAACUACCCAUAAAGAUUAACCCCCAAAUUUUAAAUUCCUUACUAACCUAUCUAAGACUUUCUUUUAUUUUAGAAAAGUAUUAUAAUAAUUUUCUAAUCUCAAAACUUAAUUCCUAUGGAUUAAUAAUAAUUUGUGAUUAUGAAAACAUUAUUCAAAAUUUUAUGAAUUUAAUAAAGGUUAAGCAUUUAUUUAAAUACCUUAGUAAAAAGGCAUUAAAUAAAUACCUAGAUUUUAUUAUAUUUCCUAGGGUUUAAGAAUUUUUAAUGCAUAAAGAAAAAAAUAAAACAAUCCUAAUAAAAUUUGUUUCACUAUUUUUGGAUAUUUCUACAAUUUCUGGUGAAUUAAAUAGUGAUAACUGAAUUUAAUCUAUUUAUCUUCAAAAAGGAAAAUCUAUGAUUAUCCAACCCCUCCUGCCAAACUUUUCUCACUCACGCCACUUCUACCCCACAUUCUGAUGCAUGGGUCCUCUUGGGCCGGCCCCCUUCUUUUCCUCCUUCACUCCCACCUGGGGCCCAACCGUCAGCCCCCCUCCUUUCCUCUCCUCUUCCCUGGCGCGUGGGCCCUCUUCCUCCCUGCGCCCCCAAGGCAGGGAACAACAGCAGGGGGCGGGACCUCGCCGGCGGUGCCUCCCUGGUGGCAUGGCCGGGCUGGGGAGCAACCCCAGGCCGGGGCGCACCCGCGGGCGGCGCUAGGCCCUCCGGAGGCGGCCUGAGCUGAGCCCUCCACGGGCGGCGGCGGCCAAGGCCGGCAGCCAGCCAUGGCUGCACACGGUGACAGCUAUACAAUGGGGGCGACGCAACCUAUAGCUUCCCUAUGAACCCACGAAGCGCCCACAUCUCACCAAACGAAGGUAGAACAGCGGCAUGGAGAGCUCACCGUGAGCACCGAAACAACGGCGAGCUGACGAAAACAACGGCAAUUCCCGGGCUUGGCAGCGACGAACCGGACGACGGGCAGUUGCAGGGUGUCGCAGUGGAGCUAGAGAGGUGGUUGGUGGCUGGUUCGCGAGGAGGAAACGGCGAUGCGAGGGAUGGCCGGAGAUGGU
rnacentral:lncRNA from 1 species